rnacentral:lncRNA from 1 species
UGUUGUUUCUUAUGUUCUAGAGAAGCUAGAGGAGUAAUUAGUGUUCUCUGUUUUUCUAAUGAGUAUAUGUGUGGAACUAUGGGUGCAAACAAAUAGUAAAGGAGCAAUUAACUUUCUCUCUUUUUUGCAAGUAUAUGUGGAUGCGCAUAAAGUGUUGGUUGUCUGCUUAUAUCAAGUAUGGUCUGAUAUUUUGGUCAUAUCAGCCCCAGUAUUGAGCAUACCGACUAAUAUUCUGGUCAUAUUAGCCCCAAUAUUGAGCAUACCAGCUGAUAUUCUAGUCAUAUCACACUUUCUACAGUCUACACCAAAUCUGCGAGCACGAUAUCUGAUAUUUGAAUCUUGAAAUUACCAUUAGAAAGGCAAAGAGAUCUUGUAGAAAAAUAGGUUACAUGCUCAGGUAUAUCAUAUAUGGAGAAAAGGCACCUAUCAGCUGUAUUGGUUCUUUCGUAUUUUUGUGCAGUCCUUCUAUUAAUUUUUCUAACUUUCUGGAUUUAUAUUUGAGCAAGAUAAAUAUAUUCCAUCUCUAUCCCAGUACUGAAUCGAAGCUUCAUCAAAUCUAUCUGGGCGUUCAUUGCGUAAUACAAUGUUGAGAUUGAGAACAUUUUCAGAGGGGAACUUAAGGUAUCACCUAAUGAUAUAAUAUUAGUCACUAUCCGUUGAUUGGUAAAUUUUGCUUUAGUAUACACCCCUUCGGGAUAUGGCUUUCAAUUCUAUACUUUUCUUUGAUUAUCAGUAUUGCUACAAGGAUAAUAAUCAUUUUUAUUGCAAAGUACGUACUACAUUAGACAAAUCAGCAUGUUUUCCCAUAGAAAUACAUGUGGCGCGAAAGCAGCGACAGUCAUGUUUGAAAGUGUGUAUUAUAAGAGUAUGUAUCUUAGUUAUUUUGGCAUCGCCAUCCUUUAUGGAUGUCCGUAUUCAAGAGCUCCGUAUUGAAUUGGACUGAAAUUCCAAUUCAGUGAGGAAACUGAAAUGGCAUGAAUACGAAUUCACAUGUUUGGUUGUUCACUGAAUUGGCCCUUGAAAUGUCUCUGAGGUUUCAAUACCAAAUCAUGUUUGGAUGACAAACUUUGGAAUUGCAUGGCUACAUUACCAAGAAGAUUAUACCUUUCUACAUGACACAAAACUUAAAUCUUCUCACAUGUGACUAUAAUUCAAUGAAUAUAUAGAAGUAAAAGAUAAUAAAUAUUAUACCAGAUAGUACUUAUGAGGUUCACAAACAAUCACAUAGGUACUAUCAAUUCACAAGCAGUCUACUAGCAGCACUCAGGUCACCUCAAUGUGUACUGCUGAAAUUCAGAAUAAAGCAUCUAGCUUGAUACUCCUCAAAUAACUCAUACACAAGCACUGUACUACUUUACAUAUCUAACAUGCAAUUUUCGUUCAGUAAGAAAGGCAAUCACUGAAUAUUUCUGGUACACAUGAGCUUCAGCAAAAGGCAACAAGCAUCCAUCUUGAUAUCCCUCAAAUUACUCAUACACGAGCACUGUACCAGUUCACCUAUUUAACAUGCAAUGUUCAUUCAGUAUGAAAGAUAAUGGCUCAAUUUUUGGUACACACGAGCUUCAGUAAAAAAGGCAGCAAGUAUUCAAGUCCUCAAAUCACGUAUCUGCACCAACUGCAGUUCAAUCCAUUUGAUUGUUCGCUAUGUAUAGAUAAUGGGCAGCCUGCCACGGUCACGGUUAUCACCCCUUGCACCUGUACCUCUAUCCUCUUGCUUCACAUGGGGAUGGGGACGGGAUAGUAUGGUGGUCGCCGCUGCCGUCGGACAGGAUGGUGGACGCCGCCAGGAUUCCUCUCAUCCACCUCCCGGUCGGGGUGGGGAUGGAGAUUGGCCGUGGUGGUCGCCGCUGGAGAUGGGGACCAGUAGCGGAGGGGUGCGGUAGGGGGCGGAACAAUCGGUGCAGGGGAUGGGAAGGAGAGGGAGAGACGGGGGAGGAACAGAUCUGCGCCGCCGCCGAGCGCCGCGGUUCGUCGUCGCCACUCUGGUAGCUAGGUCGCCCCGAGAUGCCAUCUCGUCUCCCUUCUUUCCUUCUUUUCUUUUCUGGUCACUGGGAUCAAAGGGGUAUGUUUUGCGGGAGCCGAGCAAUUGAGAGCAAAACGGAGCGGGAGCCCUCUGAAUCGUGGGAGGGAGCUUUACGUGGGCGGAAAAACAGCUCUGAAUUGGCUGGUGUUUCCAAUACGAAUUCGAUGUACAACCAAACAUCUGUAUUGAGGUCAUAUGAUUACCAAUUCGAUUUCCUGGGCUGCAAUGGAGACAUCCAAACGUGGUGUAUAGGUUGUUUUGCAUAACAAACAAUGAGGUCUGCAUAUGUAGAUUUGCAAGUUAAAUUCACCACACCUUUGAAACCCGUAGUUGUUUACUAUUCUCUUAAAUCUUUAAACUUUGUGCUUCAUUCCUUUAAUUUCAGAACUAGGAGGGUGCAGAUAAGUAAGAGUUGUUGGCAACAGCAACCUACACAUGUGGAAACAGUGGCUAUGGCGGUUCAAAGGGAAGUUGUGGCUGCUAGACAGCAACUCACAACUUAGUGGCGGCUCAAAGGACAUAUAAUCUAUUUCUUCUUGGAGCUAUCUACUAUAAUAUUAUGACUCGGUGCUAGCUGAAGCUUCUAUUUUCUCGCCUUUUGUGGUGGCGAUUAUUCCUUGGACUGCAGUAAUUCCAUUUGUAAGUAUCAUGUACUACAACCAUCUUUAUCUUUAGCCCCUGCACUUCAGUAUCAAAUUCGUGUGUAAGUGUAGGUUUUCUACCUGCUCCCUGAACAUUCCAUUGUUUUUCAUGUGCAUUUUUUUUAUCACCGGCUUCAACAUAGUUAAUUAGCAUGCGAGAGGCUCAACUGUAGCUUUUUGCAAUGCUAGAAGGCCAUAUUCAGUACUGAAAAUCUAGACUGUUCUUUCCACUCUGUAACAACUUCUAUGCUUGCGCCACCAUGAUAUCAUUACAACAUUUCCCUGUAAAAUUUUAUUAGUUACACAUAAGCUGAAUUGAUUUACCAGUAAAAAUCUGUACAACUCAUUUCAGUCGAUAGUAACCAUUGUAGAAUUACCAGGAUAUGUCAUGUAUGUGCUCUACGUCAUAGCAUGUUGCAAAAAGUACAAUAAGAGAUAGAUUGUAUGCACUAUGGCUACCAGUAACAUUUUUCGACUUGUACAUCAUUCGAUCUAUCUAUUUCUACAGGCUACUCCUCAUGUUGCAACCUUUUCCCGUAGAAUCAAAAGGAAUUAGAUGGAAGAAAUUGCAGGAGGUAUACUUUGUGUUCCAUUAGUCUUACUUUCGGAGGCAUGUCUAUAGUCUUAGUGUUGGAGGUGUGUCAAUAGUAGUAUCAAUUUUGGAGGCUUGUCUAUAUUAAUCUUAUUUUUUGUAUUAUGUUUCUUUCCAUCUGCAUCCUCUUCAUAAUGGAUUAGGUUACUUUGUUAUUGCCAUGUGAUACUUUUUCUUAUUACUGUGAUUGUCAGUGCUCUUAACAUUGGUUGUUCUUGCUUUACGGCUGCCUUCUCAGCGCACUAUUAUUAGUUCUAAUACAUUAACUAUAAUAUGCUCGAUUGACCAUAUUAAUUAUAUAUUUCACUUCACCGGGGCUAUUGGUGGAAGUGUUGGUUAAAAUAUUUUGGUGGCGGUGUAUAAAACUAAUUUUGGUACACCAUUAUUAAGUGCGCUUUUGAGCUUUGAGUAGACAAUUGUGGUCUUAAUUACAUUAAAGGAUCGUUAAUAUAUUACUGUCGCUUUCCAUGUUCAGUUAUUCACACUAUAUUAUUGCUUGGUUCUGAUAGCUUGCUAUUACUAGAGAAGGAAUGGUAUUGUCGGCUGACAUUCAAAAGCAGUCAAGAUGGUGAAGUUUAGAACGGAGGAGCUCCACGGAAUUAUGGAUAAAAAAUAUCCAUAACAUGUCUGUCAUUGCUCAUGUCGACCAUGGUAUGUGACGGAGCAGUGACAGUUGUCUCUAAUUGUCAAGUUUAUACGGUAGAAUCUUCUUGAUUGAUGAUUUUAUAGCCUUCUCUUAGUUGUACUGUAUUAAUUCUUAAAACUGGAUCAUUUAAAAUUAGUUAGAUUUAAUGAGUUGUUUCACUGUUUUCAAAUAAGUAGUUUAAGCCCUUAUUGUGUCCCGGAGCUUAUUCUUUCUGCCUUUUUAUGAUUGAUAUAUGCUCUAACAAGCUUAAAUGUAACUAUUGGCAUAUAAUCUCAUGGCUCAAAAUCUUAGUUGUUGAAUGUAUUAAAAUUUAUAAGAUAUGGAGUUUGCACUAUAUUUCAUCCUGCAGUAUUCCCAGUAACUGAAUAUUAAGAGCACCGACGAUCCCAGGUUGUACAUUCGGGAAAUGCUUUUAUCUUGCAGGCCAGUUUUACAUUUACUUCUUCGAUAAGGAGAUGACCAUGAAUAGAGUAUCAUGUUAUUUGCCUUGGCAUUACUGAUGUUGUGUUCAGAUUACUGAAAGAAGGAUUGGUACCCGCAAAGGAGUGAAGGGUAGAAAAUAUGUCCAUUGUCAUUGAAUUGGUGGGAUUGUCCCCAAGUUAGUGCUGCAGAUGUUUCUAUUUUAGAGCAAGAAGCCAAAUCAUGCUGUUCGUAAAUCUUGAAAAACUUGUUUGUUGUCACGUCUAUAUCUGUUGUAAACGUUUGUUCGUGAUGUGGUACUUGUCAAUCUUGGUUUGCCCUUCCUUUUCAAGUUUGCCUUAAAUUUCAGCAGACCAACAAGUCCUUGUGUCUUCAAUUGGUUUCUCAUUUCAUGUUUGCACUUGUAUUAUAGUAGAACAACAUGUCAUAAACAUGGCGUUCGGCAUUGUUUGUCCAGUUCCCUUCAAGAAAGAAGAGAUGGCUAUAGAGAGUGGCUCCAUCACUGAAGAGAUGAAAAAUUUUGUGCAAGGCAUUGUUUGUUAAGCUCCUUUUAAAAAUAAAGUAAUUAUGGUGCAUCUAGCAUAUAAAGGGGUUGUGAAGGACAAAACGCUAUGGAUUCAGAGGGGUGGGAGGGCAGAGUUUACUAACAAUGUAUGGAGGACAAAGUGUGAUCUGGAUUUCUAAGUUUCAACUCGUAGCAGAAUUGUAUGGAGAGAAUGCCUGCAUUUUGAAAAUCCUAUUACAUAGUUUGAGGCUAUGUUUCUUCCAAUUUUCAUUAUUGAAAAG